rnacentral:rRNA from 1 species
UACGAAGGGGGCUAGCGUUGUUCGGAAUCACUGGGCGUAAAGGGCGCGUAGGCGGCUUUGUAAGUCGGGGGUGAAAGCCUGUGGCUCAACCACAGAAUUGCCUUCGAUACUGCAUGGCUUGAGACCGGAAGAGGUAAGUGGAACUGCGAGUGUAGAGGUGAAAUUCGUAGAUAUUCGCAAGAACACCAGUGGCGAAGGCGGCUUACUGGUCCGGUUCUGACGCUGAGACGCGAAAGCGUGGGUAGCAAACAGG